CCCUUAGAUGUUCUGGGCGGCCCGCGCACUACACUGGCACUCUCAAUCAGAGCCUGGAUCUAACACUUUGGGGUAUUCUAUGAAGUGGUGUCGUGACUGGGAUUAACCCUUGCAAUUAUUGGUUACGAACGAGGAAUUCCUUGUAAUCGCGGUUUAUCAGCCCGCGUUGAAUGCGUCCCUGCCCUUUGUACACACCGCCCGUCGCUCCUACCGAUGGAUCGUCCGGUGAAGCUCAUGGAGGGGCGGUCGUCUCAGCUGCCGUCGAAGUGAAAUGGACCUCACGAUCUAGAGGAAGGAGAAGUCGUAACA
rnacentral:rRNA from 1 species